CCCUAGUUAGCUCACUUCGUAGAGCGCUCCGCUAGUCUUGGAGAGGUCCUGGGAUCGAAUCCCGGAUUAGGCA
rnacentral:tRNA from 1 species